AGAGAUAAACCUAGAUAUUUUCAUCUUUCUCUGACUCUCCGCCUAUACUAAACACAUCUUUACUCUCUCUCUCGCUCUCCAUCUCUUUCAAUCUCUCAGAUUUCGUUCCUAUGAAACCCUGAGUCGAAUAUCUAUUCACAAAUACAUUAAUCAAGUUAUCUUUCCUGUACUUAUAUGUCAUAAACCAAAUCCAAUCUUUCAACGAUCAAAAUUUCGUAUCGAACCCUAGAAAUUUGGUUCCGACAUAGAUGCUGACCAUGAGUUUAUAAAACCCUAGUUUCUUGCUGAUUUGAUACUGAGGAGAUCCAAAACAGAGAAGCAGGAAGAAGGGAUUUUCGGGUGAACAACUUCAAUAACCACGGGAGAAAGUUCAUAGCAUCGACUAUGAUUGAGAGGAGCAACCAAUGCAUCAAGAAGCCUGCUACUGUCUAGAAAAAGCAACAAUGUUGCUAGGGUGGCAGCUGAAUUGGAGAUACAAUAGUUAACAUACAUACGGAUGGAUUUUUGACUGGUGGGACUGCAACUUCUCGUCAUUUAAGGCUCUUCAUUGCUUUGUGUGCAUACUUCAGGAAAAGUUAGACAAAGACUUGUAUCUGCUAUUGGUGGACUAUUAUCAAAGUGGAGUUUCACUCCGAAGACAAGAUGGUUCAUUCUUUUGGUGAGCUAAAUUGUCUAUGAAAUGUAUCUGGACUUUUCGGACAAAAAAUAUGAAUGCUUAUUUGUGGUAGCAGCACACAAUUCUAUUGAAUGUUCCUUUAUGCUGGGUGAGAAAGAACUUAUAGAAGGAAAAAAUUUUGUGAUCAUUAAAAGGGAUCUUAAAAUGCAAUAGCAAGCUCAUUCACCUAUCAGUUUCUUACUUAAGACCAAGUGCUGCAACUUCUUAUUUCAAGUGUUGCAGAUUCCUUUUCUUCAAAGACACCACCUGACAAGGACCGAGGCUAUAGAGAAGCAUUCUUGUUACGUCAAACUUCACUCAUGUUUCCUUGGUUAUUUUCUACAGUGAUUUGCUUUUUAGAUUUAUGUAUGUUCGUAAAUUAUUUUCAGAAGAGGAACUGAUUGUAGUUUGUUAUUGUAAAAUGAAAUCCAUGUGUAAUUGUAGAUUAAGAACUUGAGUAAUUGUAAUUUGUUGGGGUUAUACAAUGAAUUUGGUGAAUAUAAGUUUAAUUCAAUUUCAGUUU